GCACUGCUGAGGAGUCCCAUACUUGGACGGAACGGUCGUCCAGUGC
rfam:Schistosoma curassoni strain Dakar, Senegal genome assembly, scaffold: SCTD_scaffold0009974